rnacentral:lncRNA from 1 species
AAAAACUCAGAAAAAAACUCAAACAGAUGGCAAGUUUACUGUUCCAUUGAAUAUCCUCUUUUUCUGAAUUGAUUUUCUGAAAUUUUCAAGGUUAAAAAACAUUUUUUGAUUUAGUUUGAGAGCUGACAUGAAGUGAUACUGAGUUUGUUUUGAAAAUCUUUUCUGGUUCGAGUUGGUUGAGGGUCCUUAUUCCUUUGGGUUUUUUCAAGUUGAUUUCCUGGUUCUAGUUGUUGAAUUUUGGUGCUAGCUAUUUCUGGUUUGAGUUCACAUAGGUUAUUGUUGAAUACGAAGCUCACCUUUGCUAUUGCUUUGGCUGAACUACUGACUUUCAGUUCUUCUUUGUUUUCUAUUCUUCUUCCAGGUACUUUUCUGGCCUUUGAGUGAUGCAACGUGGAACAUGUAAUCCAAAUGAAUUUAGUUGAAAUAAAGGUGUAGUUUUGCCAAGUUGUGUAAUCUGGAUUAACUUGAUGAUUGGAUUCAUAGAUCUGGUCCAUGGAUGCUGAAGAUUAUACGUGCCUUUUAUUUUUAGUCGUGAAGACUAUUUGAAAUUAAUGAGAGUGUUCUAUAUGGACUUGUGUGUAUUUUAUGAACUUUGUUUCUGAAUAUGUCUAUUUUGAAAUAGUUGAAAUUG